rnacentral:rRNA from 1 species
GACGAACGCUGGCGGCGUGCCUAAUACAUGCAAGUAGAACGCACAGUUUAUACCGUAGCUUGCUACACCAUACACUGUGAGUUGCGAACGGGUGAGUAACGCGUAGGUAACCUGCCUGGUAGCGGGGGAUAACUAUUGGAAACGAUAGCUAAUACCGCAUAAUAUUGAUUAUUGCAUGAUAAUUGAUUGAAAGAUGCUAUUGCAUCACUACCAGAUGGACCUGCGUUGUAUUAGCUAGUAGGUGAGGUAACGGCUCACCUAGGCGACGAUACAUAGCCGACCUGAGAGGGUGAUCGGCCACACUGGGACUGAGACACGGCCCAGACUCCUACGGGAGGCAGCAGUAGGGAAUCUUCGGCAAUGGACGAAAGUCUGACCGAGCAACGCCGCGGGAGUGAAGAAGGUUUUCGGAUCGUAAAGCUCUGUUGUAAGAGAAGAACGGGUGUGAGAGUGGAAAGUUCACACUGUGACGGUAUCUUACCAGAAAGAGACGGCUAACUACGUG